rnacentral:rRNA from 1 species
GGAAUAUUGGUCAGCGGACGAAAGCCUGAUACCAGCCAAGUAGCGUGCAGGAUGACGGCCCUAUGGUUGGUAAACUUUUUUAUAGGGGAAUAAAGUGAGGUACGCCUCCUUUUGUGUAGUACCCGUAUGAAUAAGGACCGGCUAGAUUCCGUG